GAGAAUCAGACGCAGGUGUGUUAAUUGUAUCUAUCUAUCUAUCGACAUGUUGUUGGGUCGUGUUGUCAGACGUCGGCGCGUCUCCAAGCUAUUUACAUUCUGAUAAUAUAGAUGUCCAGAGUUCGGUUACAGCCACAUCUGUACACAGCUUCAUGAGGCUCUCAAUCAGCAAGAAGAAGAGCCUUGGUGUGACAUGUUCUACCAGCAGUGUGUGUUGGAGUGUGUUAGGGUUUCCUCCAGGUCAGAGGAGGUAUGGUGGCGUUGGCGCCGCAGUAAGAGUCGCCGCCGGUCUCGGCGGGGAGAGCUGGCUUCUUCUUCUCCUCGCUGUCUGAGUCGUCCGCCGCCAGCGUGAUGAGCGAGGGCGACUUCCUGUAGAGGAAGAGCAAAUAAUGUAGCUUGAGCCUUUUCACUCUGUCUGCUGCUCAAGUCUUUCCUUCACAUUGAACUUGAAAAGGAAGAAAGCUGAAGGGUUCUCUGUGGAUUCGGACACAUGUUCCCUGUACCUCUGUAGGCAGAAUUCUCACCACAAGGUUCAGUCAGUAGCUGCUUUGGAGCUUUUAGUCAUUACACGAUAUUACUCCGAUGCCCAGAGGCCUGUACUACGCAGCAAGAUUCGUAGUUCAGGGCGGAGGUAUUGUGCUGUUUCAAAGGUCAGCAAUUAACUUUCAGUCUUAAAGUGCUCAUAUAUGCUAAUUUUCAGGUUCAUAAUUGUAUUUAAAGGUUUUACC